rnacentral:rRNA from 1 species
CCUACGGGAGGCAGCAGUGGGGAAUAUUGGGCAAUGGGCGCAAGCCUGACCCAGCAACGCCGCGUGAAGGAAGAAGGCUUUCGGGUUGUAAACUUCUUUUAUCAGGGACGAAGCAAGUGACGGUACCUGAUGAAUAAGCCACGGCUAACUACGUGCCAGCAGCCGCGGUACUACGUAGGUGGCAAGCGUUAUCCGGAUUUACUGGGUGUAAAGGGCGUGUAGGCGGGUGUGCAAGUCAGAUGUGAAAACUACGGGCUCAACCCAUAGCAUGCAUUUGAUACUGUACUUCUUGAGUGCGAGAGAGGCAAGCGGAAUUCCGUGUGUAGCGGUGAAAUGCGUAGAUAUACGGAGGAACACCAGUGGCGAAGGCAGAUUGCUGGAUAGUAACUGACGCUGAGGCGCGAAAGCGUGGGGAGCAAACAGGAUUAGAUACCCGUGUAGUC